rnacentral:rRNA from 1 species
ACGCCUAACACAUGCAAGUCGAACGAAGUAGCAAUACUUAGUGGCAGACGGGUGAGUAACAUGUGGGUAUCUGCCCUUUGGCCUGGAAUAACACGAGGAAACUUGUGCUAAUACCGGAUAAGUCUUUACAGAGAAAGCUUUAUGCACCAUUGGAUGAGCCCGCACUUGAUUAGUUUGUUGGUGGGGUAAUGGCCUACCAAGACUGUGAUCAAUAGCUGAUUUGAGAGGAUGAUCAGCCACAUUGGGACUGAGACACGGCCCAAACUCCUACGGGAGGCAGCAGUGGGGAAUCUUGCACAAUGGAGGAAACUCUGAUGCAGCGAUGCCGCGUGAGUGAAGAAGGCCCUUGGGUUGUAAAGCUCUUUCGUCGGGGAAGAAAAUGACUGUACCCGAAUAAGAAGGUCCGGCUAACUUCGUGCCAGCAGCCGCGGUAAUACGAAGGGACCUAGCGUAGUUCGGAAUUACUGGGCUUAAAGAGUUCGUAGGUGGUUGAAAAAGUUGGUGGUGAAAUCCCAGAGCUUAACUCUGGAACUGCCAUCAAAACUUUUCAGCUAGAGUUUGAUAGAGGAAAGCAGAAUUUCUAGUGUAGAGGUGAAAUUCGUAGAUAUUAGAAAGAAUACCAAUUGCGAAGGCAGCUUUCUGGAUCAUUACUGACACUGAGGAACGAAAGCAUGGGUAGCGAAGAGGAUUAGAUACCCUCGUAGUCCAUGCCGUAAACGAUGUGUGUUAGACGUUGGAAAUUUAUUUUCAGUGUCGCAGCGAAAGCGAUAAACACACCGCCUGGGGAGUACGACC